rnacentral:rRNA from 1 species
CAGCCGCCGCGGUAAUACGUAGGGGGCGAGCGUUACCCGGAUUCACUGGGCGUAAAGGGGGUGUAGGCGGCUCGGUAAGUCGGGUGUGAAAUCCCACGGCUCAACCGUGGAAUUGCGCCCGAAACUGCCGAGCUUGGGGCCGGUAGAGGGAGACGGAACUGCCGGUGUAGGGGUGAAAUCCGUAGAUAUCGGCAGGAACGCCGGUGGGGAAGCCGGCCUCCUGGCCCGCUCCUGACGCUGAGACCCGAAAGCGUGGGGAGCAAACCGGAUUAGAUACCCGGGUAGUCCACGCCGUAAACGGUGGGCACUAGUUGUGGGGGGUUAAUCCCUCCGUGCCGAAGCUAACGCAUUAAGUGCCCCGCCUGGGGAGUACGGCCGCAAGGUUGAAACUUAAAGGAAUUGGCGGG